rnacentral:misc_RNA from 1 species
GGAAGGAUCAUUCAUACAUCCAAUCAAAUCUAAAUUAUCCAAUGGAAUGUUAGGCAACUAACAUUGACAAACCUAACCAAAGGUAAAUAACUGAACAUUCCACGAAAACUAAAUUUUCAACAGUGGAUGUCUUGGCUCCCAUAUCGAUGAAGAACGCAGCAAAGUGCGAUAAGCAAUGCGAAUUGCAGACUGUGAGUCAUUAGAAUUUUGAACGCAUAUGGCACCGCCGGCUUGCCGGUCGGUAUGCUUGCUUCAGUGUGUCCUUACUCAAUGUACAACAUCUUAAUGCAAGUGAGUCUCAAGCUCUCUUGUGAAAUAUGAAAUCACGCUGUUCUACAAGGGGCCUUAAAACCCCGCUCAAUGCAGCCGUCACUUUACGUGAACUCAUUGUGAGUAGAGCAGGGCCUAGCCGAGUGAUUAGAGUUCCGAAACUCUUUUUCAUCUGAAGUCAAGUGAGAUUACCCGCUGAACUUAAGCAUAUCAUUAAGCGGAGGAAAAGAAAAUAACUAUGAUUACCUCAGUAGCGGCGAGCGAAGCGGUAAGAGCCCAAAUUGGAAAUCCAAGCAAUUGGAAUUGUAAUCUAUAGACUGACGCCAAUCUCUGUCUCGAAGCCUAAGUGUCUUGGAACAGACCGCCAUAGAAGGUGAUAGCCCUGUGCGGGUUCGAGAGAGAAGUAGGCUGAGGAUCGAAGAGUCGUGUUGCCUGGAAUCGCAGCACUAAAUGGGAGAUAAACUUCUUCUAAGGCUAAAUAACUAUGGGAGACCGAUAGCGAACAAGUACUGUGAAGGAAAGAUGAAAAGAACUUUGAAAAGAGAGUUAACAGACCUGAAACUGUUGAGAAGGAAGCGGUAGAAGAUUAUUAUUCGGCUUUGGGCUAACUGACGGGCGUAAACUUCCGGGGCGUAGAUUACUGUUAAAAGGGUCUUGUUUCGUAAGGUAUUCUCUAGGGUGCCCUUUGUUGAUAGGCAAGAUGGGCUCGAUCGCAUCAUAUCCUACUUACAGCUCGGAGGUUUACUUCCACUGUAGACAAGGCUGUUGUGGUCGUAGUCGAGGGGCUUCGGCGAUCUUGUCAAAAUGUCUUUUACUGUCCCGUCUUGAAACACGGACCAAGGAGUCUAACACAUAUGCGAGUGUGAUGGUGGAAAAACCAACACGCGUAAUGAAAGUAAGUGGUGCCAAGGGUGUUAAAGCCCUGCAGCAUCAGCCGACCAUGAUCCUUAGUGAAAGGUUUGAGUAUGAGCAUAUUUGUUAGGACCCGAAAGAUGGUGAACUAUGCUUGAGUAGGGUGAAGUCAGGGGAAACUCUGAUGGAGGCUCGUAGCGAUACUGACGUGCAAAUCGUUCGUCAAACUUGAGUAUAGGGGCGAAAGACUAAUCGAACCAUCUAGUAGCUGGUUCCUCC